rnacentral:miRNA from 1 species
GCUGUGGGCAUAUGCAUUGUGGUUCCUGCGUGAAAACAGUAGCUGGUGGUGCCUGGACCUACAACACCACCUCUGCAGUCACAGGAAAGUCUGCC